GACACUUCCCAGUGUGCAUUUGGUAUUGAAUAAAGUGCCCUUAGUAAAUACAUAUCGACCUUCCUCAUCCUUAAUAGUAGCAGUACUAUGGUAGGUAAUAUGCUUAUGUAUACCUAUCGCCACACCCUUAGUUUUAGUGUCGGGAUUGUUGCUUAAAAACCAUUGAGAGUAAUUACUAAAUUUCUCUAAUACAUUAUCUUGCCCUCUAAGAUGGGUUUCUUGUAACAUUAAUAUGUGUGCUUUUUACUUAUACAUUUCCCUAAACAGUUUACUCCUUUUUUCAGGAAUGUUCAACCCAUUGAUAUUCAAGGAUAUUACAUUGACCUCAGCCAUUGGUAAUCAGGUGUGGAUACGUCAGUCCAGCUUUCUUUAUCGGGCAGUUCCGGGAUAGCAGGAGCCAAUAACUUACAGAUUCGCUGUCGGACUCAUCCGCGGGACUUCUAGCACGCCGUGGCGCCAUCUUGGAUCCCUGACGACACUGUUCAGAGUCCGUCGAUGUGAAGAACUGUUUCAAUAAGCGCUGUGAG